GUAGGUGUAUAAAUGGGAUUGUGACCGCAGGCACUGGCACUUCUGAUGCUGUCUGCAAACACGCCUCGAAAGAGGUGAAAGAAGCUCCCACAAAAGAGGGGAAUGAAGCUCCUACGAAAGAGGUGAAAGAAGCUCCCACAAAAGAGGGGAAUGAAGCUCCUACGAAAGAGGUUAAAGAAGCUCCCACGAAAGAGGUGAAAGAACCCCCUAAAGCCCACAUUACCCCAUUCCAGGCAACCACAAUCUCUUCUACGACCACUUCAAGAAUUACAGACUCUUCUAACAACAUACAAAAAAACAGCCUCUACAGUUUGUGGCUGGUCAUGCUAUGCGCUGCUAUUUUUCUGCUGGCUGGACUCCUGUACCACAAGUGUAAAGUCACCCACUGUAUUCAUAACCACAAGAAAGUGGAUUUUCGAAAAGAAAGUGUAUGCAGAAAGCCUGUUGAAGAAUCUGGGGAAAAGUGCCAGUCUUUGCUUGUCUAACGCUGUUGUUAAUGGCCUCAGUGUUUCUUUUUGUGGAAUAUUUUGUAUGCAUGCAAUAUUGGUUGUUUUAUAACUAGUUUAAUUGCUGUUAACUUCAUUAAAUCUCCACUUAAUAACACCACUUAAAGGGAUAGUUCUGGCAUCAUUUACUUACCCUCAAGUUGUUUCAACCCUGUAUGAGUUUCUUUCUUCUGUUCAACACAAAAGAAGAUAUUUUGAAGAAGAAUGUCGGUAAUCAAACAUUUGAUGGUAGCCAAUGACUUUUUUCUUUUUGUACUAUGGAAGUCAAUGGCUACCGUCAACUCAAAAUAUUGUCUUUUGUGCUCAACAGAAGAAAGAAAAUCAUACAGGUUUGGAAAAUCUCGAGGGUGAGUAAAUGAUGACAGAAUUUUUAUUUUUGGGUGAACUAUCCCUUUAAAAAAAAAUACAG
rnacentral:lncRNA from 1 species